rnacentral:rRNA from 1 species
GUAGGGAAUUGUCGUCAAUGGGCGCAAGCCUGAACGAGCAAUGCCGCGUGAACGAGGAAGGUCUUCGGAUCGUAAAGUUCUGUUGAGAGGGAAACAGGGUCACCAGAGGAAAUGCUGGUGCAGUGAUAUUACCUUUCGAGGAAGUCACGGCUAACUACGUGCCAUCACCCGCGGUAAUACGUAGGUGGCGAGCGUUAUCCGGAAUGAUUGGGCGUAAAGGGUGCGUAGGCGGCCUGUUAAGUCUGAAGUGAAAGGUACCGGCUCAACCGGUAUAGGCUUUGGAAACUGGCAGGCUGGAGGACAGGAGAGGGCGGUGGAACUCCAUGUGUAGCGGUAAAAUGCGUAGAUAUAUGGAAGAACACCAGUGGCGAAGGCGGCCGCCUGGCCUGUUACUGACGCUGAGGCACGAAAGCGUGGGGAGCAAAUAGG